AUUGAACGCUGGCGGCAUGCCUUACACAUGCAAGUCGAACGGCAGCACGGGAGCAAUCCUGGUGGCGAGUGGCGAACGGGUGAGUAAUAUAUCGGAACGUGCCCAGUCGUGGGGGAUAACGUAGCGAAAGCUACGCUAAUACCGCAUACGAUCUAUGGAUGAAAGCGGGGGAUCGCAAGACCUCGCGCGAUUGGAGCGGCCGAUAUCAGAUUAGGUAGUUGGUGAGGUAAAGGCUCACCAAGCCGACGAUCUGUAGCUGGUCUGAGAGGACGACCAGCCACACUGGGACUGAGACACGGCCCAGACUCCUACGGAGGCAGCAGUGGGGGAAUUUUUGGACAAUAGGCGGCAAGACUCGAUCCAGCAAUAG
rnacentral:rRNA from 1 species